GACUACAUCCAGUCCAUAAUUAAUCCGACCCAGUGUCCGCGCUGUCCGCUGUCACUGUCAAGGUGCCCCGGCGGCUCACUGGGAGGGAGUCGGUAACAGUCGUAGCCAGUAAGCCAGUGAUUUCAUUUAUGACUAGGACACACCGGAAGAAUGACUAAUGUGUACACUGACUUAGCAGAGCACGGCUUUGGUGAAUUGUCAGUCCGUUGCACAUGCGGCGCAAGAGACUCCAAAGAGGGGAGAGAGGUGGGAAAACACACCCCUGGCGAGAUUUCAUCUGUGUACAUCCUAGUUUGAGAGUGAACAUUUAAAAAAGUUUCAGAAAAAUAUCUCUCUGAAAAGGAAAGUCAUGGCUUAUUUUCACUUCGGUGGUUUCUCCGUGGAUUUGUCCCUCCUGUUGCUUACCCUGCUGCACGGUACUUUUCGGCCAACGGACGCUUUUAAUUUGGACGUGCGCUUUCCUGUUGUAAAAGAAGGCAAAACCAAUGGCAGUUUAUUUGGGCUGUCGGUGGCCUUUCAUAAACAAACGUUGGGCAAUGAGCGAUACUUGGUUUUGGUUGGAGCACCGAAGGAGACAACAAAGAGUUUCAAUAAGACAGGAGAUGCAUUCUACUGUCCAAUCAGCACAGACACCAAGGACUGUGGCCAGAUGAACCUAAUCACCUCGGGAAAUGAUCGACCUGACGAUACGGAGAUCGUGGACGGGAUGUGGCUGGGAGUGGCGGUGGCGAGUCAGAAUAUUACUAAAGGCCGAGUUUUGGUCUGUGGUCACCGUUAUGUGAAGAAGAUAAACGAGGGCCUUACGUGGGGAAUGAUUGGCCGCUGCUACAUCCGCAGUAACAACAUGGAGUAUGACCCUAAUGACUACCACUGGCAGGACUACUAUGAGGUUUGCUCUCCGCAAGAUGGCCAGAACAUGGAAGGCAUGUGCAACAUGGGCAUCUCUGCUGCCAUUACCGCUGACGAGGUCGUAGUCGGUUCACCAGGCAGUUUUGAUUGGCAAGGAAAUGCGGAUAUCAUUUGGAGAAGCCCACAUAAUUCCUACUCAAUAUCCAAGACAAAUUUCCCAGAAAUUGAUAGACGAAAUAUCUACAUAGGUUACUCGGUGGCCAAGGACAAAGGUCUACUGAGUUUGACCAACGACACCCUGGUGGCAGGAGCUCCUAGGGAUGGACCUGAUAACCUAGCCAGAGGGGCGGUGAGAGUGAAUCUAGUCAGCAAUGUGGACGAUGGUGACCAAACGCUGGGUAAAUCCGCCUACAUUCUGUACGGGGAGCAGGUGGGGUCAUACUUUGGUGGCAGCAUUGCCAUUGCUGACCUCAACAACGACAGUUGGAAAGAUUUAAUUGUGGGAGCUCCCUUCUACUUUGACCGGACCAAAGAGGAAGGAGGGGCCGUCUACAUCUACAUGAAUGAAAAUGGCUCCUUCAAAGACAAGUACGACAUCGCUCUCAAAGGACCUGAGAAAUCUGCGUUCGGAAUGUCAGUGUCCGCCAUUGGCGACAUCAACCAAGAUGGUUUCCAAGACUUUGCAGUCGGUGCCCCCUACCAUGGAACUGGCGCUGUUUUCAUCUGGAUGGGCAGUGAGAAGGGCAUCUCCCCUACGCCCAGCCAGGUGAUCAAAGGCCAGGACAUCAAACACAGUGGCUUCCAGACCUUUGGUUACUCUGUUUCUGGAGGCAUGGACAUCGAUGACAACAAAUAUCCAGACAUAGUGGUGGGCUCGCUGGAUGAGCGUAUUGCUGUGUUAAGGGCUCGUCCAGUCAUCCAUCUUCAGAGUGAUUUAAGUGUGACCCCAAACAUUGUGGAUCCAGACACUUGCAAUGACUGUGUAGAGGCGAAGAUGUGCAUCUCCUACCUCCUCAGUACGGGGGAGAGCAGCAAGAGAAACAUCACUGUGGAGUUCACACUGAUAGCUGACCGGACCAGCCGCAGCCCUCGUCUAGUUUUUUUGGACAAUAUAGCGAAUAUUUAUACUGGGCACUUCUACAUGCCGUCAGAAAACUGCAGGACCUUCAAGCUCCAACUUAAGAAGCCCGUCCGAGACAAGGUGGAGCCUGUCAGCUUCUCCCUCAACAUGUCCCUGUACGAGCCUCAGGCGCGGAGCCGCGGAACACUCCAGAAUCUGGACGCAUACCCCGUGCUGAGCGAGGGGAAGACCGUGGUCAGAAAACAUGAGAUUCACUUCCAGAAGGCAUGCGGCACGGACAACAAGUGCAACAGCAACCUGAAAAUGACUGCCGAGUUUGCCAACUUUGACGAUGACCAGCCUUUCCAAGUUGAAGACGGACACCAGAUCUUCAAAUAUAAUGCUGACGUGAAAAAGCUCAAGAUGCUUAUCAAUGUCACCAACAUCCCAUCAGACGGACGGCUGGCAGAAGACGCCCACAACACCGUGCUGAACAUCACCACCCCCACCUCUCUGCAGUUUUCUGCCGUAAACCCCAAGAAUCUCAUUGAGUGCGAUCUCACAUCAUCAGGUCUCCUCUGUGAGUUUGUGAACCCAGUGCGUACCAAACAAGAGAGUCAAGUUACGAUCAUCUUUGAGACGUUAGGCAUCACUCUGGACACACGAGAGAUCACCACAGAGAUACAGCUUUCUACAUUGAGUGAACAAAGCGCCAUUUCACCAAUAGCAUUGACCCUGAUGGUGGAAUAUUCACUUCAGCCAACAUUCAUCAUAAAUCCCCAGAAUGCCCUGACAUACUUCAGUGGGGAGGUCAAGGGAGAGUCGUUCAUGAAAACACCCAGUGAUGUAGGAAGCCCAGUGACUUUUACCUUUCAUGUGGAGUUGAAAGGGAGGCCACUAGGCAGUCUGGGGACUCUCCAGAUCUCCUUUGCUUGGCCGUUGGAGGUGGAUAAUGGGAAGUGGCUCCUGUAUCUGACAAACAUUACCACAGAGGGCACAUCCAACCAGCUGUGUGUCCCCCCAGGCAAUAUAGUUAAUCCUCUCAAGCUCACGCCGGCAGCUGUCGGGGGCCGUAGGAAGCGAGAGCUGGACUCCCCUGAGGUCAGGGAGGGGAUCCAGGCAGAGCAAGCGUUGGCUCAGGCCCCUUUCAAAGCCAGAGGGACUCGCAAGAAGCUCAUCCUGCUGACUUGUGACGAAGGCGCUAAGUGCCGCACCUUCACCUGCCCCUUAAAGGGGAUGAAAACUCGUGCAGCGGUAACCGUCUACGCCCGGCUAUGGAACAGCACCAUGCUGGAGGAUUACAGUGAUGCUUAUCGAGUGACAGUGCAAGGCCAAGCUACGCUCAACUUACAGACAAGUAAAGCUGUUGUCAUCAUGAAGCCGCAGACACAAACGUUCACCCUGAACAUCGACCCCGAGCUGGAGGAGGAGGCUCCACAGGAGGCUCCCAUCUGGAUCAUUGUGGUGUCGGUCCUCGCCGGAGUCCUCCUGCUCACGCUCAUCAGCCUGCUGCUGUGGAAGUGUGGCUUCUUCCGAAGGGCCAAUACCAGAGAGCUGUAUGAAGCCAAAGCCCAGACGGCGGAGAUGAGGUCUCAGCCCUCUGAGAAGGACCGCCUCACCGAGGACAUCUAACGCCACGCCAUGCCUCACGCUGGUCCUUACACUGUAGUCCUUGGCUUCCCUUGCUCUCCUCACUGACCCCAUGCAGUGCCCUGUGCCUUGUGGCUUCUUCAAGCGAAGCGCCCACUUCAGAGAGAUGCCCACGCACCACGGAGUCCAGAUCCGCAAGGAGCAGCGCUACCGCCUCAGCGAGGGCUUCCUCGUCGAGGAGGACACCGCCAAGAAGCACUGGAUCACCAACUGGUCAGAGAAAACCCGCCGCUGCUUCUAGUGGCUGCGUCCAAAAACACACACCGCCACACAUUCAGCCCUCACACAGGGGGGGAGUCUGGGGUCCAGCCUCACCCGUCUUCACCUUCACGAGGACUCUCGGGCGCAUUACUUGUGUCCAUACACAUGUCAAUCAUGGACUGUCUGUCGUUAACAUGGUGCAGUAAUGGUGUUUAAUGAUAUGGGGUUUUGCAAUGUUAGGGUAAAAGCUACAUGUAUUGUGUGCUACUGCAAUGUUAGGGUAAAAACUGUAUGUGACAUACCAAAUGAAUACAUUUUUUUUAAAUCCCUGGUUAUUUUUUUUUUGUCACUGCUAUGAUAUGCGUGUUUUAGGUGCCUCUAUUAUUCCUAUGUUUGGUUUUGUUUUCUCUUUGACAUACAGUGCCUCUGCGUGUUAUGGUGUGUGCUGAAGCACUCAUCGUCUGUGAUACGCUUUUCACAGUGCAAUAAGGCAUGGUGUGUCCAUCGUGUUUCCCACUGAAUCUUGCUAACUGGAUUUGAAUAUCGCUCAACCAAUGCUGUUCUCAUUGUCAUACUCUUGUGUGUUGAUAUCCAGGACCAAAGCAUUUUUACUGAUUGUGGUCAAGAACAUUAUAAAACCUAAUGAUCUGAUCUUUGCAUCUUUUUGUCUCGUGAAUGAUCAGGAGUCUAAUGGGUAUGUAUAAUUUAAAACAUUUAAAAAAGUAAAGGUAUUGUAUGAUUGCUAAGAUUAAAAUAGGCAAUAGAGCCAGAAAACUUCCUUCAAAACAUAUUUGAAAGAUCAGAACAUUUACUUGAUAUUGCUGAUGAAUCUAUACAGUAAUUCAGAGUCCAUUUGGUAUUACUUCAUCUUUCUAUUAGUCUAUUCAAUGUAUUGUAUGAUUGUAGACAAUUGAAAUGUCUAACAUUUGCACACACUCUCCUCUGCUGUUCCGUUCUGUGGUGUAGAUUGAUUAAUGUUUUUUAAUGAAUCUGUUUAUUUGAAGUCUGUAAAUCAUGCUGUGAUUUGCCUCAUGAUUGAUGAAAUGUUUGUGUCUGUGCCAAAUAAGAGCUCUAUCAGCAGUUUUAUAGAAUCACUGAAUUAUGCCUGCCACUGCCAGUGUUGGAGGGUGAAGUUUCAGCUUUUCCUUAAUUAAUCUGCAGAAAGAAGGUCUCUUCAGCCUACUAACUUGUGCGUUAUUGAUGAGGGGGAAAAAAUCCUGUACCCUAGGUAAUCACGUUUAUAGUCAAUCCUGUUUAAUUUUUCCGAGGUGCUGAAGACUUGUGAAUUGAUUCUGCUCAGAAAAAAACAACAUAUACCAGAGAUGCAUCCGUACAUUACACAGGAUUUGCAUUGCUAAUUCUCUUUUCUAAUGAAAAUACUGUAGUUUCCAAUUCCGAUGCCAGAUGUAAAAAGCCUAUAUUAUAAGUCCUCCAUAUCAAAGCCAAAUUACCAUGACAUAAAUAUUUAUAGGAGGUUUGUUGAGAGAUUAUCAUUGUUAGAUAGGUGGUUAGUUUCAUACUCAGAAGCUUCCUUGUGUCAUUAUUAUAAAUUGUGGAAGCAAAGCCAGCCACAUAUUUGCACAGCCAGAAUGAACAUUCCUUGUUAGCAUACAGUUAUUGUUUGUGUAUCAGACAUAUAUUUUUUAUGUAUGUGCAUUUAGUUGGUGUAUGUGAGCAUGUAAAUAAUGGUCUGCCUUGUGAAUAUUUAAAAAUUGAUCAUUUGUUGUAAAAAAAUUAAACAAAAGCUAGUGCAUUUCUUUGAUACUGUGCUUUUUAAAUUAAAGCUUUUUUAUAUAUGA